UUCUUGCCCCUUCCCGUCCCGUCCCGUCCCGCGGCGGCGGGGGCCGCGCGUUCCCCUCCUCGCCUGGCUCCUCCCCUCUUCUUCAGGGGCCGGGAAAGGCCCGCAGGCAGCCCCUCCCUGCCGCCCCCCUCUCGGGAUGGAAGCCCCCGUUAAUUCUCCUCCCCCGUAGCAGGCGGCGGCCCGAGUUCGGUGCAAAAUGCUGGGCAUGUACGUGCCGGACAGGUUUGCCCUGAAGGCAUCCAAAGUGCAGGACGGGAUGGGGCUCUACACGGCCCGCAGAGUCAAAAAGGGUGAAAAAUUUGGCCCCUUUGCAGGGGAGAAGCGAAUGCCACAGGAGCUGGAUGAGAACACAGACUGCAGGCUCAUGUGGGAAGUUUGUGGGAGUAAAGGUGAGGUCCUUUAUAUCCUGGAUGCCAGUAAUCCACGUCAUUCUAAUUGGCUGCGAUUUGUCCAUGAGGCUCCAUCAAAAGAACAGAAGAACCUGGCAGCCAUCCAGGAAGGGGAAAAUAUUUUCUAUCUGGCUGUUGAAGAUAUUGAAACAGACACAGAACUUCUGAUUGGGUACUUGGACAGUGACAUGGAGGAAGAGGAGGAGGAGGAGGAGGAAGUAACUGUUAUCCAGGAAGAUGAAGACAGUGGCAAUAAUAAGGAAGUGCAACCAGCUGGUGAAAAAGUUGCAGAUCCCCUCACGUGUAAAGAGGACCAUGCAUGCCCAAACUGUGAAUCCAGUUUUGCCAGCCAGGAGAUUCUAGCUGAACAUCUUCAGACUUUGCACCAAAAACCCAGUGAGGAAAAGGAAUUUAAGUGCCGAAACUGUGGAAAGAAAUUCCCUGUUAAACAAGCUUUACAAAGACACGUACUUCAGUGCACAGAGAAUAUCAACCCAGGAGACUCCUCAAGAAGUUUUCAAUGCUCUGUUUGCAAUACUUCCUUCAGCUCAGAAUCGAGUUAUGAACAGCACAAAGAGGCAUGCAGAGGGGAUGCCAGAUUCAUAUGCAAGGCAGAUAGCUGCGGGAAGAGGUUCAAGAGUAAGGAUGCCCUGAAAAAGCAUAAGGAAAAUGUGCAUAGUGGAAAUUCUAGGAAGAAGCUGAUGUGUUCAGUGUGCAAUAAGAAAUGUUCCUCAGCAGCAAAUCUCCAAGAGCAUCGAAAGGUCCAUGAGAUCUUUGAAUGUCAGGAAUGUGACAAGAAAUUUAUUUCAGCUAACCAGCUAAAACGCCAUAUGAUAACUCACUCAGAAAAACGCCCCUACACCUGCGAGGUUUGCAAUAAGUCCUUCAAACGACUUGAUCAAGUGACUGCACACAAAAUAAUACACAGUGAAGAUAAACCUUAUAAAUGCAAGCUCUGUGGAAAGGGAUUUGCCCACAGAAAUGUUUACAAGAAUCACAAGAAGGUACAGCACAGACAGCAGCACUGCGAGCUUCCCCACAGUGUCUCGUCAAUAAGUCUCAACCCUGUUCUGGAGGAACCCCCCGUUGAGACUCAUUCUGAAGAGAGACCAUUCCAGUGUGAGGAAUGCAAAGCUUUGUUCCGAACCCCAUUCUCUCUGCAGAGACAUCUGUUAAUCCAUAACAGUGAGAGGACCUUCAAAUGUGAUCACUGUGAUGCUACUUUCAAAAGAAAGGACACGUUAAAUGUUCAUAUUCAAGUUGUUCAUGAUGGACAUAAGAAAUACAAGUGUGAUCUCUGUGACAAAGCUUUUGUGACACCCUCAGUCCUGAAGAGCCAUAAAAAAACUCACACAGGAGAAAAAGAGAAGAUUUGCCCGUAUUGUGGACAGAAGUUUGCAAGCAAUGGAACACUGAGAGUUCAUAUUCGAAGCCAUACAGGUGAGCGUCCUUACCAGUGUCCUUAUUGUGACAAAGCUUUCAGCAAGAAUGAUGGAUUGAAGAUGCAUAUUCGCACCCACACAAGGGAAAAGCCGUACCAGUGUUCAGAGUGUAACAAGGCUUUCAGUCAAAAGCGAGGCCUAGAUGAGCACAUGAGAACCCACACCGGAGAGAAGCCAUUUCAGUGCGAUGUAUUCUUGAUUGCAGUAUUCUCUUGUCACCAUCGUGUUAUAACUUCCCCAUCUGUGACUAUGAUUUAUUCCACGGGAUGCUUACGCAGCGUCAUGCAUGGUUGAAAAAUACUGAUGUCACGUGUUCAACAUAUAAAUAAAGGCUGUUGGUGGGAGAAGUCCACCUAAGUCAACUAGAACAGGUACUGCUUGGUGGAGAUGACAGAUGGGUAAAUAGCUGAUUCUGUCCUCAGAAAGAGAAUUCUUGGAUGUUUUUAUGCUCCCUCAAGAGAAAAUGAAGCAUUCUUGUUCCUGCCUUGAACGUCCUGUGAAAGGAAAAGUGUAAGGGAUGACUUUCACCCAUGUUACUCUUGUUAAACUGAUGUGACAAGCUCUUACGCUAAUGGAAAACCAUUUAAUGCAAAAUGCAACAGCUUAGAGCAGAACUGGGAGUCACCAAUUGCAGAGCUGUGGCAGCAAUACCAGCUUGUCUCCCAACACUGAUCUGCUUGAGUAGGAGUGUGAGUUUUGGCACGAGUGUCCCUUCUCUCAAAGAUUUCAUGGAGAAAAGUGACAAGUAUGCCAAGGUUCUCUGGGCAGCAGAGCAUUGAGGUUGUUCGUGUAGCAUCUCCACGUUCACGUUAAGAGAUGUGCGCUCUGAAUUUUCUACUUCGCUAAUGACAAGAACUUCUGUGGGAAGCUGGAAGAAAGAACUCGAUCGCAUUGUACAGCAUUUCUUGUAUUGUCAGCAUUUCUUUAGACAGCGUUGUCACUGGAAUCUCUGCAGACACCUUAAGGGAGCCUUUGGGGAAUGUUUUUCUGGAUGACUGUGCCAUUUUUCUCAUUGACUUGCAAGAAGGCUGCGAUCACAGUAGAGGACAUUUAGAGGAAUGAACGUGGAAGAUUAGGGGAAUGGAUUUCGAAGCAAAAUCUACAACUUUUUUUUUUUAGGGAUGGGGACUCAAUCACCUCCCUGGGCAGCCUCUGCCAGUGCUUGAGAAGCCCGUUGGUGAAGUUUUUCCUAAUGUCCAACCUGAACCUCCCCUGAUGCAACUUGAAGCCAUUCCCACUUGUUCUAUCACCUGUCGUUUGGGAGAAGAGACCGACACCCACCUCUCCACAACCUCCUUUCAGGUAUUUAUUUACUGACAUUGCCUCUGAUGCCUGUAAGAGUGGAGUACUGCGAGUGAUGGUUCAUCGGGGGGACUGAGGAGCUCCCGGCAGGAGCAAACUGAUGCCAUAUUCCAGGAAACUUAGAGAACCCCUUCCAAUCAUCAGCUUAAAAUCAAUAAGUAAAUAGCUCAUGCUCAACCUUGUUGGCUUGAAAUGGAACCCAGAAGGGAGGUGCAAAGGAGACACAAAAGGCCAUUUAAUAACUUGAAAGAAAAUAUUUCCAAAUGGCUCAGGAUGAGAUUUACACUGAAGCCAUGAAAUUGUGAGAAAUGUCAGAGAGAUAAGAAGUCCUGCGAAGCCCUAAUUUGUGUGUGGGUGGACACACUUCAAAAGCACAGAAAGGGAAAAAAAAAGUGUGGUGUUGCCUGCAAAGCAGUGGGGAGAUCAAACAGCUUUUCAGCCAGCUGCUCAACAUUGGUCACUGCCUUUGAGAGCGAUGGACCCAUCAGCGCGGCUGAGCGCUGCUGUACAUCACCCAGCGCAUGCAGAGUACUCAAUGAAGCAGAAAAACAAUGUUAGUCUUCGGUGGCCAGGGAAAAUAUCAGGAAUCUGUGAAGGUGGUCUCCAGAUGAUACAGCCCUCGCCAAAGCGAUCGUGCCGUGCUGCGUUUCCCCCAACGAGGGAGCAAAUCUACGGCAGCAGCAGCGCUGGCAAGUGCAGUUGAGCCGCUGGAGCGUGUCCAGAGGAGGGCAGCGAAGCUGCUCAAGGGCCUGGAGCACAAGUCUUAUGAGGAGCGGCUGAGGGAACUGUGGAGAAAAGGAGGCUGAGGGGAGACCUCAUCGCUCUCUACAACAGCCUGAAAGGAGGUUGUAGUGAGGGUAAGCAGCUUGAUGGAUCGGUACCUACAGAAGAUGGAUGAAUGCAAGGGGGCUUAUCGAGAGACAGGAAGGUUGAAGAUUGAUUACACUCCCUGGUUUUGCAUAGGGCUGCUUCUACACGUGGUAUUAAAUCCAGACUGGAGAACAAAGAAUCCAAAAGUUCAACAAAGUGGCUGCACAUUGGGACAUGAAAAGUGCAUUUACAGGAUUAUUUUUGCAUCAAAGGGAAAAGAAAUCAGGCGUUUUCUUCUGUAUAAAGAAAUGUCAUAGACAUGAGGAAAGAAAGGAAUAUGUGGAUCCCCGUGUUGUUGAUUGCUAUUUUAAAGAAUCUCAAGGCUCAGAGGAUGAGAUUUCUACAGAUAUGGAGCAUCCAGAACUGGCAAGAGUGGAUUGGAACAACCUGGAAGUUUUGCAGCCAAGUCUUUUAACCUGAGCUGAAAUCUGUACUCUGAAGGUCCUCAUGAAAUGCUUGGAAAAUGGACUUUUCGAUUCCAGUUGCUCCUGGGCUCACCCGGAAGCUAUUGCGCUAACACAGUGAUAACUGGACAUAAAGCCAGGAGCAAGGACAUAAAGCAGAAGACACGUAUGUACUCAAAAUGGUUUAUAUACGGUUGCUUUGAUCUUUAAAUGUAAACCUUAUGCUUAUCGCAGGUUGAUAAUUGCUUACCAGAACCAGAUUUACCUUUCACUGCAGCAUCAAACUCAAGGUAAUGAUAGCAGCGUGAAAAAUAGCUUCUAAGUUGUUAAUGCUUUGUACUCUUUUGGCUUUUCUUUGCCUGCAGAACCAGAAAUGAAUGUGUUAUCCUUUCAAAUUGCUUUGAUAAAACUCAUUCCCUUCAGGAUUAAACAUUCCUGAACAUUUUUAUGCCUCGCUGAGCUCUUUCAAACAAACAUAAAUUAAUUCUUUAGCUCAAAAUUUACUUAUGCUCAUGAGACCUAAUUCCCCUUGCCUUUAGCAUUAUUCUAGUCAGUUCAUUUGUGCGAAGUGACCAUGGUGUGACUGUUCUGAUGUCUUACCCUACCUACUUCAUGUGCUUAGAGAUGUACAGACAUCAUGCAUGGCACUUAGCAGUGGGAAACAAGAGUUGGAGUUGGAUUCUGCAGUGCCCUGCGGGGACAAGGUGGAUAGUUAGAAACAACAGCACGUGCUGCUACCAUCCCAGCGUGAGGUGGGAAUCCUUUUGUCUAACUGUUUGCCCACUUGCGGCCUUCAGGCAGGGGCUCCGGAGGCAGGGAAGCAUACAGUGAGGAGCCGAGUGGGACGCCGUCUGCUGCCCACCCUGGCACCGCUCUGUAGGACAGCUUCUGGCCGAGGUGCUUGUGGGGAGAUGAGCUGUUAAAACCGUUCAACCCAAAAAAAACCCCAGAGUCCUCCCUGUAUGUCUUCACUACACACUUAAGUGGGACCCUGUGAGUCGAUCCAAGCAGACAAUGGGUAGCUGUUUGAUUUGGCGUGGAAGAAGGGGGUUUUACAGGACAAAUACGGCCACAGCUGAGCAAGUUUGGAAUGGGUCCCCAGUGGAUAUCUCAGCCAGCCACAAACCUUUUGGUUGUCUGCCCUCGGUCUUGACAAAACAGUUGUCAAAAGUGGUCAAAAAGGAGGUAAAAAAAGAAGAAUUCUGUGAACAACUCAAGUUUAACAACAUGAGUUUGCUGUGAGAUGGCUUAUCUGAAGCCAUUCUCUUUUAUCCACAUUUGCUUUUCUAACAGCCUACUGUAUCAAACCUGUGUAAUUACACAAGGACCAUCCCAAUAUACAGCUCCUGUACAGUAUUCAAUAUUCGAACAGUAGCUCAGAGGAGAUAAGUAGCUGACAAAGUGCAAGGAGGUGGUGGUAUCAUGAUAGAAGGUGAAUUCUUGUCCCAGCAAAUCUUUGUAAAGAGACUGUGCUCAGGAAGAAGGAAGGAAUAAUCCAUCCCAGUUCAGACAGAGCCUGAAGCACCUAUGUAUUAGUUUAAUAAUUUGCCUUUUCCUGUUUAUCUUAAGUUACAUGUCGUAGUGAUGUAGUACUACUUUAAUAAGUGAGAUGGCACGCUGGAUAAUAUGAAAAAACAAUCAAGUGAACAAGAAGAAAACCACAGUUUCCGCUUUGGAUUAUGACUGUGUUAGAAUCAAUGGGACUUUAAAAUAAAGGCCAUCUGCUUUUCCUUCAUAUGUGUGUUAUGGCAUAUAACUGGCAUGUGAAUUCCCGCCGUCAGGAACAUAGAAAUGUUUUCUAUGUGACAGAGUACAGUUCUGAGGUACUGAGAUGUAAUAGACAAAACCAAUAUGCAGUGAGAUACAUCCAGUUUGUCUUUUACUUUGCGUUUGACCUGAUGUUUGGCUGCUAAACAGUCAUCCUGUAAUUGGACUUCGAAAAUUACACUCUCAUUUCCUUUAGUGACAGGGAAACUGCUAAAGGAAGUCUCUGCCAUACUCAGUUUAAUUUAGCUGAUCAUCCAAAUGCACAGAUGUUUAUUUCAAUCUCCUCCAGAAAAGGAAGUGGGACUCUUCCAAUCACACUGCUGUGACGUUUCCAGUGCUCUGGACAGGACAGGAUCCGUGCACAAAUGCUCUCCCUGGCACUGAAGUAUUGCUGCACCGUAGGUAUUAUCUCGGAUCCUGUAAGCACUGAAAAAAUGGGGAAAAAGAUUUUAAAUUAGCCUGCAAAAUAUAUUUUUAGCAAAGUUGAUUGAUUCUGUGAUUAAAAUAUAAAGUUUACAUUGUCUGCUGUUCUAUUCACAUUUAUAUAUGCAUUUCUAAUUUGCAUGUUGUAUUUUUGCACAAUACAGAUCUAGUUAAGUCUGGAAGUGGAUAGAUAUAAUUCCAAAUGAAAUUAGACAGAAGCAACCCAUAAUAUCAAACUUGAAUGCUUUCAUAUAAUGAAUUCUAAUAGAUGUCAUGUAGUAAGUUUAGGAUUUGACAGUGCCAGCAACAUUAUGUUUAUCCUUAAGAGUUAUUUCCUGCCAUUGGUGCAUUUUUACUAGUUAUAAAUUCAAUCAUGUUCCUAUUACAUCUAUUAUCAACUGGAUAUAUUGCAUAUUAAACAUAGACCUCCUAAUCUUUACAGGUAAAAUCCAACAAACUGAACUAAACUACUAG